rfam:Setaria italica strain Yugu1 chromosome VII, whole genome shotgun sequence.
GUGAGCUGGGAAGAGGAAGAGAGGGUCUAAGAGCAGUGGGAAUGGGAACAUGGAGGAAAGCCUAGCCUGUUUGUUUCCUCCAGCAACAGAGGUGGAAGCUUGGUUUGGUGUUUCCCGAUGCCUCCCAUUCCUAUUGUUCUUAAGCACUCCAUCCUUUUCCUUUUGGCU